rnacentral:rRNA from 1 species
UACGUAGGGUGCAAGCGUUGUCCGGAAUUAUUGGGCGUAAAGAGCUCGUAGGCGGUUUGUUGCGUCGGCUGUGAAAUCCCGAGGCUCAACCUCGGGUCUGCAGUCGAUACGAGCAAACUAGAGUGUUGCAGGGGAGACUGGAAUUCCUGGUGUAGCGGUGAAAUGCGCAGAUAUCAGGAGGAACACCGGUGGGCGAAGGCGGUUCUCCUGG